UAUUUUAUGAAUUAUGAAAGCAUAGCGAGUGAAAAAUUUACAGUUGUUACGUUUUCUUGGCAUUUUGUAUUUUCUCUGGAGACUAUAAGUAGAACCAUCUUGAAUGAUACAUAUUAAAAAGCAAGGAAUCAAGUCUUCGCCAAUUCAGAACAACACCAUCAAAUACAGUUCAGACAGUACUUGCUAAUUUCGCGAAUUAUUCUGGAUUGAGUGCGUGCAUAUUUUCCAGGCAGGAUCCUCUAGUCUCGGAUCUUCAAGAGAAAUGGCAAUCCAAUUCAUGCCCCUAUUUUGGCUGGGUAACGAUUCUAUCUGGCUAUUUGUCCCGUUUUAGUUUCGCCAAUUUUCUAACGGAUCUGCUUUUGGAAUUGGGCUGGUCCUUAAGAGUCCCACAGGGCUUGUCUCACAGUCCCAUGUGAUUUGCGUAAAGUUUGUCUUCUCCAGAAAAACCUCCCAAAACGCGUUUGGAAUCGCUCGGCCUUGACUUAGUGAGUUUGUUCCUUUUCGGGUCUCC
rnacentral:lncRNA from 1 species